CCCAACUAUCCCUAUUAAUCAUUACGUCGAUCCUAGAAACCAACAAAAUAGGGUCAAACGUCCUAUUUCAUUAUUCCAUGCUAAUGUAUUCAAGCGCGAGCCUGCUUUAAACACUCUAAUUUUUUCAAAGUAACAGUCCUGAUUCCCCGCCACACCAACUGAAUGGCAUGACAGUUCUUCAGAAGGGAGAAACCAGUGACACCAGUGCAUACCAAAGGCACGACCAGCGUACUGAUCUCGAAAUUCAACUACGAGCUUUUUAACUGCAACAACUUUAAUAUACGCUAUUGGAGCUGGAAUUACCGCGGCUGCUGGCACCAGACUUGCCCU
rnacentral:misc_RNA from 1 species